GUUUUUCUCUGACAGGAAUUGAGAGGUGGUGAAUGUUUCUUUCAUUCUGCUCUCCGCCUGCAUGUGCCAAAGUUUGAACAUUCAGCAAAAUAGGUCUGUCCAUAAGAAGUCAAGAUCAUGAUGACUUCACGCUCUGAGUAAAGCAGAGAGAGAUUGAUGCUGACACAGAGAAGAGCAUUUGAAGAUGCAGGCAGAGACUGGUGAUGAGGUCACAAGCCAAGGAAGUCAAAGCAGGCUGACAGCUACAAGAAGUGGGAAGAGGCAAGGAAAGGUUCAUUCUGAGAGCCCUUGGGGAAAUAUAAUCCUGAUUUUGAACUUCUGGACCCCAGAACUUUGAAAGAAUUUGGAUUUUUGUUGUUGUUUGUUCUGUGUUGUGUUGUUUUAAACCUCUUAUGUUUCAGCAAUCACAGGAAACUAAUACAGGGACUGGCUGGAUCCUAAAAAGAAAUCAAUAUCUAAAAAGGGAAAGCAGGAGGUAGGAAGAGAUGCUCACAGACUCCACAAAUUUGCUGAUGGUCAGUCUUUUUUCAGAGUCCCUGCUUUGACCCUGAGUUGGCCAUUUAGCCUGUGCCUUGCUCCAUAGUCAUAGACCAACUCAUAAGUCUUCUAGUCA